rnacentral:lncRNA from 1 species
CCAAGGCUGUAUCUGACACGGGACCGUGCCCUGCCCCACACUCACACCACGGGCACACAGGACUGUCAGCCACUGUCUUGGUUACCACCAGCCAGCCCAACCCUCUCCCAGCUGGGCAUGCGGGAGACCCCAGGUGCACGCCAGGGGAGCUGAAUGAUUUUCCUACAUCUUUUGGCGAAGGUUCUUUCUCCUGGAUACGAGGAUUCAGGAACUUACUGAUUACUUGGUGCUAAUGCCUUAGAUUCUCCUGGAAUCUGACACUCCACUCCAUUAUCCCCUGAGAGCUCCCAGACUGCAGAUUUACAGGAGCUAAUUGGCAUCCUCUUUUAAACCCGUGAAUAUAUUUAAGAGGGCUGUAGAAUUACCAUUCACUCAGACCUUCACAUGAAUUUAUUUAAUAACGUCGAUUUCCUCCCCGUAUCCAGCCUCCAUCACUCAUAUUCCAGGGAAGAGGUUUAUGUGUGACGGUGAGAGAGGCAGCUCGCGGCAGGGUGCCUCCCAGAUGGGCUUUGCCAGUGGCUGCUUGGCACCUUUCCUGGACCCCCCAGUGGAUAGGCCAGGCCCAGGGACACAAGCCCCGCCAUGGGCAGGGCCUGUCUCACUAUUGUUCACAACCAGGCCUCAGCCUUUCUUUUUAUGGACAGGUAGCUC